rnacentral:rRNA from 1 species
CUACGGGUGGCACCAGUGGGGAAUAUUGGACAAUGGGGGAAACCCUGAUCCAGCAAUGCCGCGUGUGUGAAGAAGGCCUGCGGGUUGUAAAGCACUUUCGGUUGGGAGGACUGCUUCUAGCACUAAUAUUGUUGGAAGUUGACGUUACCUUCAGAAGAAGCACCGGCUAACUCCGUGCCAGCAGCCGCGGUAAUACGGAGGGUGCAAGCGUUAAUCGGAAUUACCGGGCGUAAAGCGCGCGUAGGCGGCUAGAUCAGUCGGGUGUGAAAGCCCCGGGCUUAACCUGGGAACUGCAUCCGAUACUGUCUAGCUUGAGUACAGGAGAGGAGAGUGGAAUUCCACAUGUAGCGGUGAAAUGCGUAGAUAUGUGGAGGAACACCAAUGGCGAAGGCAGCUCUCUGGCCUGAUACUGACGCUGAGGUGCGAAAGCGUGAGGAGCAAACAGGAUUAGAUACCCGGGUAGUC